AAAAAAAGGUCAUGGCAUCUGCUGUUGUUGCUGGUGCUGCUUCUUCUUCUUGCUCUGUGUCUUACUCAAGAAACCUUAGCAUUACAAAAUCUAAUUCCUCAAUCCCAUCUCUCAAGUCAUCCACCACUCCAUCUCAGAGAACUAGUUUUCAAGGGCUAUCAUUACAAGAGGCAAAAAGGGGUGUUUCGAAUACAUUCUUAGGCGCGGAGAGUAAGAGGAAUGCUACUAGCAAUGGUGGAAGUAGAGGCCUAGAAAUUACUGCAAGAAAAGCUGCAGCUGCAAAGAAUAUCGAAGUUGAAGUUGAUAAGCCAUUGGGACUCACUUUAGGUCCAAAGCAAGGUGGUGGAGUACUCAUUACGGGUAUAGAUAAUGGCGGUAAUGCUGCAAGGGCAGGGCUUAAGGUUGGUGACCAGGUAGUCUACACAAGUAGCUUCUUCGGUGACGAACUGUGGCCAGCUGAUAAGCUUGGAUUUACGAAAACUGCUAUACAGGCGAAGCCUGACUCUGUCUACUUCGUCAUUAGCAGAGGUGCUGAUGUAGAUGUUAAAAGAUUGCCCAAACGUCCCGCUCCUCCUCAAUUUGGAAGGAAAUUAACUGAUGCUCAAAAGGCCAGAGCAACACACAUUUGCCUCGACUGUGGUUACAUAUACACCUUGCCUAAGUCUUUCGAUGAACAGCCGGAGGACUAUGCAUGUCCACAAUGCAUAGCACCAAAGAAGAGGUUUGCAAGAUAUGAUGUUAACACUGGUAGAGCAAUUGGAGGAGGAUUGCCACCAAUUGGUGUUAUUAUUGGUCUCAUUGCUGGUAUUGGUGGUGUUGGAGCAUUACUAGUUUAUGGUCUUCAGUAACAUCUUUUUAUCAAAUUCAAAUUUUUCCUCAUGAUUUAUUAUAACUUAAAGAAAGUGUUACUUAAAUGCUUGUGCUUAUAUAAUUACA
rnacentral:misc_RNA from 1 species